AAAUAAAUAAAUACAUAGCUCCAUUAUAUCAAAAUCAAGUCCUGGAUUUUAAUUGCAGUCAAGUGUAUUGAAAUUGAAGGCAAUGAAUUGAAUGAAACAAUCAAAUGAUCAAAUUUUAUAAAAAGGAAAAAACCACGAAAAAAUCAAACCAAAACUUUAUACAUACAUAACAUAAUCUACAAAGACAGGAUUUCCGGAUGUCGUAGAUUAAACUCAGAAUAUAAGUACGUUUAAUCCACGACAUCCGUAGGAAUAACCAAAGGUACCGAAAAAAAUGAUCGGUCGUUUCGGUUGACAUUUCCAACCAAUUUUUCAGGAACCGCGUUUCAUAACCGAACCAGAUUUCAGAAAUUGUAUAGUUAUGGAACGGUAACCGGCACAACCGGAGGAACCGGUUAAGUUACGGAACUUACCCUUAAUGGCCAUACACACGGUCAAGCAUGCCUUCGCGCUUACCUGAAGAAGCAAGUCUGCGAGUCUUAACUGUAUUUGCGUACACACGUUCAUAUCAAGUCUGACAGACAUCACUUCAUUUUGAAUGAAACUAAAUACAAAAUGUCACUCAAUAAUAAAGAUUUAUGUCUAAUUAGUACCGCUAUUGUGUGUGCGAUUAAAAAAAAGUCUGAAGAAAAAAAGAUGUGAUAAAAGAAAGUGGGUGAAGACAUGUUUACAUAAAAGAAGUCAAUAUACUCAUGUCAAUUUGUUGAAAGAGUUACAGGUCGAACCUGAUGACUACCGAAAUUAUAUGCGAAUGCCUGAAGAAAUGUACAUGGAACUAUUAUAUUUGGUAUCACCAUACAUUCAGAAAGAAAAUACUUUGCGGCAAUCUAUAAGUUUAAAGUAUAGUGAGAUUUAAAGUAUAGUGCUGUAAUAUCUCCGCAGGCUCUAGGAAAAAUUAUUCCAGAAACUUGUAAAGCACUAUUCACCGUACUUUGGAAAGAAUUUCCAAAAUUUCCAACAACAGAAAAUGAAUGGGAAAAAAUAGCUAAGGGAUUUGAAUAAAAAUGGAAUUUUCCCAACUCUCUGGGUGCUGCCGAUGGCAAGCAUAUUAGCAUUGUUCGACCACCAAAUAGCGACUCCUAUUAUUACAACUAUAAAGAGUUCUUUAGCAUUGUUUUAAUGGCAAUUGUUUAACCCUAAUUACGAGUUUAUAUUGUCACUAAUGGUCGUGUUUCCGAUGGAGGCGUUUUAGAAAAUAGCGAUUUUUUUCACAAACUUAUUGGUAACUCUUUAAAAAUACCAGGUUUAAAGGAAGUUGGUCCUAAAAAAGUAAAAUUACCAUUUGUAUUUGUUGGCGAUGAAGCCUUUGCAUUGCAAGAAAAAUUUAAAACCCUAUAAUGUCAAAGAACUUAAUUACUCGAAAAAAACUUUUAACUAUCGUCUUUCUCGAGCUAGAAACGUAGUAGAAAUUACUUUUGGUAUUCUGGCUGCUCGAGUUCGCUUAUUACACACACAAAUAAACAUGAAUCUAAAAACCAUAGAGUUGGCGGUUUUAACGUGUUGUAUAUUGCACAACUAUUUACGUCGUAAGUGUGGUGAGUUUUAUUUAUCACAAUCAAAUACACAAGAAAAUGGAAUUACUACCGCUAAUGGUACAGAAAAUUUAAGAAAUCUGCAGCGGGGACAUAACCGCCAUGCAAACCAAAAAGCGAAGGAAGUCAGGGAAUCAUUUUUCAGAUAUUUUAAUGAAGGGGGUAAAGUACCUUAGCAACAUAUUUGAAUAAGUAAAUAAAAUAAUAAUAAUAAUUAAUAUUAUACAAUUAUCUAUA